rnacentral:rRNA from 1 species
GCUGGCGGCAUGCCUUACACAUGCAAGUCGAACGGUAACAGGUCUUCGGAUGCUGACGAGUGGCGAACGGGUGAGUAAUACAUCGGAACGUGCCCGAUCGUGGGGGAUAACGGAGCGAAAGCUUUGCUAAUACCGCAUACGAUCUACGGAUGAAAGCAGGGGACCGCAAGGCCUUGCGCGGACGGAGCGGCCGAUGGCAGAUUAGGUAGUUGGUGGGAUAAAAGCUUACCAAGCCGACGAUCUGUAGCUGGUCUGAGAGGACGACCAGCCACACUGGGACUGAGACACGGCCCAGACUCCUACGGGAGGCAGCAGUGGGGAAUUUUGGACAAUGGGCGAAAGCCUGAUCCAGCCAUGCCGCGUGCAGGAUGAAGGCCUUCGGGUUGUAAACUGCUUUUGUACGGAACGAAAAAGCUCUUUCUAAUAAAGGGGGCUCAUGACGGUACCGUAAGAAUAAGCACCGGCUAACUACGUGCCAGCAGCCGCGGUAAUACGUAGGGUGCAAGCGUUAAUCGGAAUUACUGGGCGUAAAGCGUGCGCAGGCGGUUAUGCAAGACAGAUGUGAAAUCCCCGGGCUCAACCUGGGAACUGCAUUUGUGACUGCAUAGCUAGAGUACGGUAGAGGGGGAUGGAAUUCCGCGUGUAGCAGUGAAAUGCGUAGAUAUGCGGAGGAACACCGAUGGCGAAGGCAAUCCCCNGGACCUGUAC